GAUGAACGCUGGCGGCGUGCCUAAUACAUGCAAGUCGAGCGAACAGACGAGGAGCUUGCUCCUUUGACGUUAGCGGCGGACGGGUGAGUAACACGUGGGUAACCUACCUAUAAGACUGGGAUAACUUCGGGAAACCGGAGCUAAUACCGGAUAAUAUUUCGAACCGCAUGGUUCGAUAGUGAAAGAUGGCUCUGCUAUCACUUAUAGAUGGACCUGCGCCGUAUUAGCUAGUUGGUAAGGUAACGGCUUACCAAGGCAACGAUACGUAGCCGACCUGAGAGGGUGAUCGGCCACACUGGAACUGAGACACGGUCCAGACUCCUACGGGAGGCAGCAGUAGGGAAUCUUCCGCAAUGGGCGAAAGCCUGACGGAGCAACGCCGCGUGAGUGAUGAAGGUCUUCGGAUCGUAAAACUCUGUUAUUAGGGAAGAACAAACGUGUAAGUAACUGUGCACGUCUUGACGGUACCUAAUCAGAAAGCCACGGCCAACUACGUG
rnacentral:rRNA from 1 species